rnacentral:ribozyme from 1 species
UCAAAAAAAAAAAAAAAAAAAAAAAAAAAAAAA